rnacentral:rRNA from 1 species
CUACGGGGUGCAGCAGUGGGGAAUAUUGCACAAUGGAGGAAACUCUGAUGCAGCAACGCCGCGUGGAGGAUGACACUUUUCGGAGCGUAAACUCCUUUUAUAUAGGAAGAAGAUGACGGUACUAUAUGAAUAAGCGCCGGCUAACUCCGUGCCAGCAGCCGCGGUAAUACGGAGGGCGCAAGCGUUACUCGGAAUCACUGGGCGUAAAGAGCGUGUAGGCGGAUUAAAAAGUCAGAAGUGAAAUCCUAUAGCUUAACUAUAGAACUGCUUCUGAAACUCUUAAUCUAGAAUAUGGGAGAGGUAGAUGGAAUUUCUGGUGUAGGGGUAAUAUCCGUAGAGAUCAGAAGGAAUACCGAUUGCGAAGGCGAUCUACUAGAACAUUAUUGACGCUGAGACGCGAAAGCGUGGGGAGCAAACAGGAUUAGAUACCCCUGUAGUC